rnacentral:rRNA from 1 species
AGUGAACGCUGGCGGUAGGCCUAACACAUGCAAGUCGAACGGCAGCACAGUAAGAGCUUGCUCUUACGGGUGGCGAGUGGCGAACGGGUGAGGAAUACAUCGGAAUCUACUUUUUCGUGGGGGAUAACGUAGGGAAACUUACGCUAAUACCGCAUACGACCUACGGGUGAAAGCAGGGGAUCUUCGGACCUUGCGCGAUUGAAUGAGCCGAUGUCGGAUUAGCUAGUUGGCGGGGUAAAGGCCCACCAAGGCGACGAUCCGUAGCUGGUCUGAGAGGAUGAUCAGCCACACUGGAACUGAGACGCGGUCCAGACUCCUACGGGAGGCAGCAGUGGGGAAUAUUGGACAAUGGGCGCAAGCCUGAUCCAGCCAUACCGCGUGGGUGAAGAAGGCCUUCGGGUUGUAAAGCCCUUUUGUUGGGAAAGAAAAGCAGCAGGUUAAUACCCCGCUGUUCUGACGGUACCCAAAGAAUAAGCACCGGCUAACUUCGUG